rnacentral:lncRNA from 1 species
UAAGAUGCAAAGAACAUACUGAAUGAAAGAUUUUCAGAAUGUACCUAUGGGAGAUAGUCAUAUGUUUGAUCUACUGGUUUCUUGUCAUCAUCUGAUAGAACUCUCAUCUGUUUAUUAUCUGAUCCAAAGUCAAUCAAUUCAGAACAAUUUACUUUCUCAACAUCGCUUGAUUCAUCAACAUUAUAAGAAUCCAUUGUCUGAAAAAGGGGAAAAACAUAAAAAUAGAUAAACGAGUGACCAAUCUACUAAAUCAAUUAACGAAUAGCAAAAGAACUAACCGAAGAUGAUUCUGUGAUGGUUGGUAGCAGAGAUGACAUCGAUGGGUCAUAGACAUUCAUUUGUUUAUCCAAUUCAAAGUCACUUGAUUCAGGGUCACAAUCAUUCCUCUGUUUAUCAAAUUCAAAAUCAAUCGAUGAUUCAGG